AUGAUUGAUAUCAUUGGAGUGACAAAAGGUAAGGGUUAUGAAGAUGUUAAUCGUUGGGGUGUUAGCCGUCUCCCCCGUAAGACUCACAUGGGUUUGAGGAAGGUUGCUUGUAUUGGUGCAUGGCAUCCUGCCGGAGUUUCCUUCACUGCUGCCAAGGGCUGUUGCAAGUGCUUAAUAGCUUGGAUAUCCUCAAAGUUGGAACCGAGGAAUAAUCGUAUUGUGUCACUUUUAUUGAAGAUGGUGUAG